rnacentral:rRNA from 1 species
UUGGAGGGCAAGUCUGGUGCCAGCAGCCGCGGUAAUUCCAGCUCCAAUAGCGUAUAUUAAAGUUGUUGCAGUUAAAAAGCUCGUAGUUGAAUUUCGGGGUCAGUAGGUCGGUCGUGCCACUGGUAUGAACUGGUUUUACUGAUUCCUCCCUCUUGAAGAACUGUAAUGCCAUUAAUUUGGUGUUGCAGGGAAUCAGGACUGUUACUUUGAAAAAAUUAGAGUGUUUAAAGCAGGCUUUAGCUUGAAUACAUUAGCAUGGAAUAAUGAAAUAGGACGUUUGAUCCUAUUUUGUUGGUUUCUAGGAUUGACGUAAUGAUUAAUAGGGAUAGUUGGGGGCAUUAGUAUUCAAUUGUCAGAGGUGAAAUUCUUGGAUUUAUUGAAGACUAACUACUGCGAAAGCAUUUGCCAAGGAUGUUCUCAUUAAUCAAGAACGAAAGUUAGGGGAUCGAAGACGAUCAGAUACCGUCGUAGUCUUAACCAUAAACUAUGCCGACUAGGGAUCGGAUGAUGUUAAUUUUUUAAUGACUCAUUCGGCGCCUUACGGGAAAC